rnacentral:tRNA from 1 species
GGGUAUGUGGCUCAGUGGUAGAGCGCUUGCCUUGCAUGCAUAAGGUCCUGGUUUUGGUCCCCAGCAGCACCA